rnacentral:rRNA from 1 species
CCUACGGGAGGCAGCAGUGGGGAAUAUUGGACAAUGGGCGCAAGCCUGAUCCAGCCAUACCGCGUGGGUGAAGAAGGCCUUCGGGUUGUAAAGCCCUUUUGUUGGGAAAGAAAUCCAGCCGGCUAAUACCUGGUUGGGAUGACGUACCCAAAGAAUAAGC